ACGCAAGUGGGGGAGGAAAGUCCGAGCAACAUAGAGCACCACGCAAGUUAACGGCUUGAUAUUCGUGAGGAUAUAGUAGCGUAGAAGAAAAUAACCGCCUCGCAAGGGGUAAGGGUGAGAAGGCGGGGUAAGAGCCCACCGCGAGUGUAGCAAUACAUCUCGGCAGUACGCCUCGUGGGUUGCAAGACCAUGUAUACCGACAACUAAGGGUUGCUCGUCCAAUGUCGGGGGGUAGGUUGCUAGAGGCGGCAAGUGAUUGUCGUCGUAGAUAAAUGAUAGAGGCCCAAGCUUCGGCCUGGGAACAGAACUCGGCUUAUCGCU
rnacentral:RNase_P_RNA from 1 species